AAAGGUACCUGGCUGCCUCUGCCGCACAGCGGGUUCGCGCGGGCCAAGAAAAGGAUUAAGGGAGUGGAUGGACAGAGUGCAGCAGAGACCGGGAAAUCUCUCUCUCCGCUCCGCCUCUCUUUCAAGGCACCAGCACUUGACCCUGCAAAUCGCUGAUUUCCCGGGCCACUUGAACCGCCCUUGCCAGGUUAAAGGGGCAGAAGACACACCCCCUCGGGGGCCCGGAGCGACCCCGGGCUUAGGACUGCAGGCUGGCGCUGCAGCACCGCCCCCGAGUCUGACUUCCAGGCCCCGGCAUGCGGUGCAGACGCGCAGACAUCGGAAGGCAACCCCCAGCUCCCCUGAGAGGUGACCUUAGGUCACUCGAAAAAAUAACCAGCAUGUCAAUGGCACUUGUAGUUAUUUUCUAAUUUAAAUUAAUAACAUUUUGCAGAUGGGCUUCCACUGAAAUAAGCCUUUGAGAAAAAGAAAAACUUCUUCUUUUUCAACAAGAUUAGGAAAUACCAAGAAAUAGGCAACUAAGGUGGGGGAGUGGGGGUGGGCGACAAGCAGGCACCAGCUAUUAAAGCAGCGGCCUAGUAUAUUCUGUCCUUCCAUAGUUUGCGGGCCCAAGCCUAACUUCCUACAAUAAUAAUUGUAUAGAAAAGUUUUAAAAAGGGAUAAAAAAAAAAAGAGGGGACAUCUCAAAUGAAUACACUUAAGCUCCCCCCUCAAGAAACAUGAAAUAGGCAAGUAAAAGAAACCUAAAGCAGGCCAGGCACGGUGGCUCACGCCGGUAAUACAAGCACUUUGGGAGGCCAGGGUGGGUGGAUCACCUGAGGUGAGGAGUUCAAAACGAGCCUGGCCAACAAGGCAAAACCCCGUCUCUACUAAAAAUACAAAAAAAUUAGCUGGGCGUGGUAGCACCCGCCUGUAAUCCCAGCUAUUCUGGAGGCUGAGGAAGGAGAAUCGCUUGAACCCGGGAGGUGGAGGUUGCAGUGAGCUGAGAUCGCACCACUGCACUCCAGCCUGCACCAUGGGAAUGAGACUGAAUCUACAAAAAAAAAACAAAAACAAAAAACAAAACAAAACAAAACAAAAACCUAAAGCAAAUGGAAGGAAAUAAUAAAGAUAACAGCAGAAAUCAAUGGCAUUGAAAACAAAAAACAAAAGGGGAAACGAGUGAAAAUAAAGCUGUCUCUUUGAAAAGAUCAAUAAUAUUUGACAUAUAUUUGACAACCCAGAUGAAUUGGACAAAUUCAUCUUAAGUAUCAACUACCACAACUUACCUAAAGCAAAAUAGGUCAUCUGAGUAGCUGUGUAACUAGAGCUACCCCAUGCCUGUGCUUCAUACUCGACUCCAGAGUGAUUGAAAUCUACAUUGAUAUAUAGGUUCAGCCCACAGGGAUGGCAACUCUCAGCCCAACCAGAGGCAUAAGGCCCAAAGAUUAUGGGGUCUAUCUGGGACAAGAACACAGGCCGCUAAGAAAGAUCUCUGUAAGACACAAAAGUUUGGAAGACAGUCAUUUUGAUCCUUGACUUUUCUAGAGACUCAAAAGACGCAUCUGAGGAGAAAAGCUCUGGGUCCCUGGAAUGACCGUGCCACUCAACAUGCCUCCUGGAGUGGCCAAAGAGAGUGUAGUCAAGAAAAUAAAUAUUGGAGUGAACUUUCACUCACUCCCACCUUUGUAGGUUUGUUAAAAACAUAUGAAUUUAGAAGCAAGAUACUUGGCUUUUUCACAUGACUCAAAAGAGGUGUAGAUGAAGAGAAGCUCCAUCAUCCCACAGAACUUCCAGGGUAACCUGGACACAUCCCUAAAUCUCCAGCUCCUGGGUCUUUGAAAGCCUGUUUAGGGAAAGAAUUUGUGAUUUUCUCAAGGUUGAGAGGAAAGAGUUUGGGAAACACCAAGGCAUGGGUUGGCAAAAAGAUUACAUCAUCAGUGAGGAAAUGAAAUUUCCAGAGGUUUUUGCCAGAUCUGGGACCAGAGACAAAGGCCUGGAUGAAUUUCCUGUGUAUUUCCAUAGAGGUCUGUUAUCUAGUUGUAUAGAUCCUGUUUCACAAUUAGGCUCUUUGAAAUCUGGUAUGUUGAUUUAAAUGCCAUUAUAAAUAACUUGAUAAUGUUGCCUGACAUACGUCUCCUAUGCAAGGCUUUGCUCUGGGUGUCCUUUCUGUUUGCUCAGUGUGUCUACUCAAGAGUCCUAUACAAAUCUAUUUUAGAAACACUGCUUCAAAGUCCUUCCAGAGACUCUUCAAAAUUAGAUCUAGUGAAACCGCACUCAGUGGAGCAUUGGUAGUUCAGCGGUGGCAUUCUCCCCACCUACGCGGGAGACCUGGGUUCAACUCCCGGCCAAAGCAGGCCUUCUUACCCUUCAUGCUCCAAGUUCAUGCUUGAAGGGCUAUUACAUUUCUAGCCAACAAAGUUAUUGUACUACACAGGCUGUGCAGCAUUUAGGGGCCUUGAGUCGUGGUGGCUGGAAGCUAAACCUGCCACCUCUGGAAUAUUCUCUGUGCUGGAUCUAAUCUUGAAAUUACAUUUCCUCUGCUCAAAGCCUGUCUUUGAAAGUGGGGGUGUUUCCGGUGGUUUGCUGCAGUUUGGAAUACUGGGAACUAAAUAAAGCCUUUGCUACUUUCAUCUAGUCUCCGGGCACACCCCUGAGUAACCCAAAGGCCAUCAGACGGAUUCUCGUGCUGGACUUUCCCCUACCUUAGGCCACAUCUCACUAUGGAGUGAGGAUCAAGAAGUAAAGGUCUGGGAAGGAGAGAAGCUGCAGGGGCCAGGGAGACUCUUCGUUGGUCGGAGAGCCAUCAGCGGCCCAAGGAAAAGGGAGGAUCGUGGGGAGACGAGGGGAGCAGUGGAGAUGAGGGGAGCAGCGGAGACAGAGUCUCAUGCACAGGUGUGCCCAGACACCCUGAACCCAGUUACUUAACCUCAUCAACCACGUGGCAUCCGCGGGGUCCGUGGGCCUGUGGGUCUUCCGGGAGGGAUUCUGUGUCCCUGUUAUUGUGUGUCAAUAGGUGUUAGCCUGAUAUUUAUAUUUUUAAUGAGAGAAAACGAACUCCAGAAUUUGGGAACUGUUUUUCCGGUUUUGCUUUAUACCUCUUGGACACUCCUUCGAAGGACUGGAUCUGAGGGGCAUUGGGGUGCGACUAUGGUGGACAAGGGAUGAUUAAUUUUCAUCCAAAAAUCUUUGGUGGAUUCCCCCGGCUCUCCAGCUCACCAGUCUAACAGUAGUUUAAAACAGAAGAUCAGCAACGUUUGGAGAGUUUUUUUUUCUUUGCGUUUUAAUGAUAAACUUGAUUUAUUCAAUUCUAUUCUGAGGUUGUCUUUCUAUAUUUUGAGUAUAAAACGAUGGCCAUACUAUGUUGGAACCACUAAGGUUCUUCUCUUCACUUGUUAUUCGUAAAGUCUCUUUGUAAUCUGAGAAUUUCCUGAGUAAACUGGGAACUGUUAUACAUAA